UAACAAAAACAUUUCACUAUCGACAUUUCCAAGCCUAUCUUCCAAUAAACCCUUUCAUCUCCCCAUAGAACUCAAAGGCAUCGACACCUCCAAAGCUCUCAAUACCUUUCACCUUGAGAAUUCCAUCUAUGACUAACUCUAAAUCCCCAUAUCCCCAAAUCAAAUCGUUGGCCUAACCCAAUAUCCCCAAAUCUAAGUGUCGAUCAUUUUUUGUUAUUCGAAGAAGAGAAGGCAUCAAAGAGAACAAAGGAAAAAUCUAAAAGACACGAUUAAAGGUGAGAAAACUACUUCAAUCGCGAGAAAGUUUCGACCCAAAAGGCACUAUGUGAGAAACUAACUUCAGUUUUUGUUUUGUAGGAAAAUAUUGGGGAGGAGGGGGUAGGGUUUGGUGGUCGUUGAAGAAAUUAUGAGAGAUUUGGGAUCCUUUUGUUCGGUUGUUGAGGCUCGAUCCUUCUCCAACAUCCUCUUCUGGCUCAGCUGUGCUACAUUUUGAGAUCUUUCCAAUCUUUAAAUGAAGGAAGCACUGAUGACAUGUCUUAAUUAGUGAGGUUGUGAGAAUAUUUGGGGGCGGAGAUGAAGCUAGCUGCUCUGUUGACUUCUGCUGGUGUCAAUACUGCAGUGUGCGUAGUGCUGUUCUCCUUGUAUUCGGUUUUAAGGAAACAACCGAGGUUUGUAAAUGUUUACUUUGGCGCGAAGAUUGCUCAAGUACGAGAAAGACAACAGGAUGCCUUUCGCUUUGAUAGAUUUGUUCCUUAUCCAAGUUGGAUCCUUAAGGCACGGGAGACUUCUGAUGAAGAAAUAUGUGCUACUGGGGGAUUGGAUGCAGUAGUAUUUGUGCGGAUGAUUGUUUUCAGCUGAAACAGUGCGCUUUGUUUGUGUUGCUGCUGCUCGUGGAAAACAUUAGUUGCCCUAAUUCACCUCCGUAAUCCCCACAUGACUCCAUUGAUUGUGAUGGAACUUCAUACACGGAUGUUCCAACACCCUCGUCCUCAGUUGCAAGUGACGCGAAGGCAUUUGGUCGAGCAUUUUGGUUCUUUUUUUUGGUGAAGUCAACUUUUUUGUAGGUACAAAAAUUGCACCUGUCAUCGAGGGUGUUGUUCAGCACAUAGCAUCAAGAAGGUUGGAAAUCGGGGGUUUGGAUUUGGAAAAGUUACUAGCAGAUGAGCUUACUAAAUCAAAUCCAACAGUGAAAC